rnacentral:lncRNA from 1 species
CUUAAUCGAUGUUGUUUUGAUGUUAAAAGGGUGAGAAAAAAAAUAAAAAAUCCCCGUAGACACUUAAAAUUCUCCCUCCCAAAAAUUCAAUUUAUCCAUUUUUACAUUCGUCUUACCAUGUAUCCUACCCAUGUGAUAAUCUCUUCACAAAAGGAUAAAAAAAUAACCAAAUUUUCAACAAAAUAACAAUCCCUAUAAUUAAUUUUAUCUCAUCCUAACCACUACCCCACCCCCUAACCCAUGUCACCCCUAGACAUAUUUUUUAUUCAUUUUAACCGACACACAGAAAGGAGCGGAGGGGAGGGGAGAUUCCUCACAAUUUCCAUUCGAGAGGAUCUCUAUUUUAUUGAAAAGAAUACACACUCAGAGCGGAUCACACACGGAUUUUGAGGGGAUUUCUCAUAAUUCUCAUUUAGCUGGAGAUACAAAGAGAACAAGGGGGAGGCAUGACUCCACUUUUUCCAAUUUUAGGCACUCACAACAAAAACAUCAGUGGAAAAACACGCACCACUCCAUUUUUGAUCUUUUCUCAACACAGAUUCACGAGCUAAGGAGGGGAGCUCACCAUUAGUACACACAGAAAAAACUCCCUUCGAUCACUAUAUAGACCCACAUCAUCAUCAUCAUACAGGCAUACAGAGAGUGAGAGAGUAACAGAGAGAGUAAUGAGGGAGAGAGAGAAAAAAGUGAUUGAGAGAGGCCAGAGAACACUGUCUCGGUGACCAGUCAGUUCAGCCUGAAAUCGGUCCAUUUCAACGAGACUUUGUUGUUGGUUAUUUUGAAUACUGGGCUGGAUUCGUUCAUUUCGAGAUUUCCCAUUGGUUAUCAAGUCUGUUCGGGAUGAAUUUCUCUACACUGAGUCGAGUGUGGUCGUGGUUAAGGUUCAGUUCGAGGCUAUCGGAAGCAGAUUUCUUUAUUUCAUAAAGUAAUAUUCUUCGAAAGUUCUGAAUUGAGGUCCAUUUUUCAUCCCAUUUUCUUGAAUAAUUUUAAAUUUUGAUAUUUUGUGUGGUGAAUUGAUAAUGCGUGGAUUUUGCGUUGUUUGAUUUUGUGAUGUUUGAAUCAUGAAUAUUGGUUGAUGUUGAAUUUGGAUUAUGAAAAUUUAAUCGAUGAUCUAAGGAUUAGUUACUCAUUGAUUGAGAACUGAAAUCGACUUUUUGGGGUGGAAUUGAGAAAUUGAUAAAAAUGGGUGAAUAUUGAUCAAUUUUGGUUUAUUAUGAUUUUGUUUAAUUUGAAAUAAGCAUGAAUAUAUUUGGAACAUAAUAGAAUUAUGAUAUGUUGAAACGAAUAGGCAAAUAUAGGUUCGGAUAGGCAAAAUUUAAGAAUGUUGAAUGUGUUGAAUGUUUUCUAGUUUAUCGCACGAAAAUUGAAACUGUAUUUAUUUGUCGGGGAAUGCCCCAAAGGAAUUGUCUUUAUUCACCGAAGAAUGCCCCAAAGUAUCAUGUACUUGAAGACGGCGCACGGUCAAGGCCUGGAACGUCGGUUGAGUUUAGUUUAAGAGUAGUUUAGGAUUAGUUUAGAAUAGAGUUGGUUUAUGCAUUUUUUAUUUUUAGGGACUAUAUAAUUAGACUGGACAUUAUAUUUAUUUGGGAUUUGUUUUGCUUGUGUUUGUUUGUUUGAUUGUUGUGUGUUCUAUGUGGUUUAUGCACUCUUGUUAUCUAAUUGGCCGAUAUACUCUACCAAGCGACCAUGGUCGAGCCACGGGAUCGAGAGAUGCCUAACAUCUUCCCCUCGGUCCACAGAAUUCCUUAACCGGAAUCUUUGUCAGCAAACCAGUUUUAAAGAGUCAAACCGCUUUGAAAAGGACUUUUAAAGGUGACUUGACACACCGGAUUAUGCCAAGUGGCGACUUUAAAUUUUAUUAAAACAACAUGAAUCCUUUUUCGAAACAAAUCUUUAUUUUAUCAUUUUACUAAUAAAAAUUCUUCCAAACUUUAAAAUCAAUUUUUGUGGUUAAAAAAGAGGUGUGACAAUCCCUUUAAAAAUGUUAUAAUAGUGCAGAACUUUCCCGGCUGAUGGUUUGGUCGACGGACCGUCGUUCCCAUAACCAACAGUCCCAAAAUGACCAAAUUUUGGUCUUUUUGCUUAAGGAUGACGGUUUGGCGCAAUGGGUCGUAACUGGUGCGAUGAUCCGUCCCCCAGACCAAUCUUGCGCUGGCAAACUGACACCCUUUUGGUAAAUCAAGCAUAACUUUUUACUCCAAUAUCGGAUUAAAGUAAAAUUGGUGGAAUUGAAAAUUUAAUUCAAUUAUCUAUCCUUUGGUAGGUUUUGAGCUAAAAAACACUUACAAAUUUAAAUAUUAUGCUCGUUUGAAGUUGACUAUAACAAUAUUCUUCAAAAGAACUUAAUCAGUAAAGGAUAUUUUUACUUGUUUAUAAGCUAGAUGUAAUUUGAGGCCUUAGUAUAUAUAUAAAUCACUUAUCAAACUAUUAAAACAUGAGGUUUUAAUUUGCAUGAACUUGAAGCAUGAUUCUAAUAUUGACUUGGAUUUUUGAGGUGUUGCAAUAUCUUUCCUUGUGGUCAUUCGUUCCCGAAUGAAAACUAACUAAGCUGAAGAGUUAGGGGAAAAGCUGUAACUCCCACACUGAACUCCUAUGAGCAGAAUAAUGACUUGAUAAUUGAAUUUUUAACUGAUAUAUGGACCGAAGCAAACUCAUAAAUUCAUGUUAUGACAUGAGAAUCGCUGAGUGGCCUGAGAUAAAAUGAAUUAGUUAAGGGAAAACUAUUACCUCAAGAUGGGAAUGAGCUUGAAGGGAGAAUAUGAGGGGUACUUAAUCAUCAUAUCUACCUCUAUUUCCUAAGUAGCUCCCUCAACUGACUGAUUUCUCCUUAAAUCUUUACCGAACUGACCUCCUUAUUUCCCAGCUUAUGAACCUGACAAUCAAGGAUCUUAAUUGGGACCUCCUCAUAAGAGAGACUAUCUUUCACACCCACACUCUCUAAAGGAACACCUAAUGUUGGAUCACAAUGCAUCUAUUUAGCAAGGAAACAUGGAAAAUUGGAUGCACUGAUUCUAAAUUUGCAGGCAAUUCCAACUCAUAGGCUACAUUACCAUAGCGACUCAAAAUCUUAAAGGACCAACAUAGCGGGAAUUGAUCUUUCCCUUAUUACCAUAUCUUUUUACCCCUUUUAUGUACGAAACUUUCAAGUCGACAUAAUCACCAAUUGAAAAAUCAAGUUCCCUUCUCCUCACAUCUACAUAGGAUUUUUAAUGACUCUGAGCGAUUUUUAUCCUCUCUUUAAUCAGCUGAACUUUUUUCAUAGCCUCAUGUAUUGAAUCUGUCCCUAUAAAUGUAGCCUCACCAACCUCAAACAAACCAAUAGAAGAUCUACACCUCCUACUAUAAAGUACUUUAAAUGGGGCAAUCUAAUAUUGGAGUGGUAUCUAUUAUUAUAAGCAAACUCAAUUAAAGGCAAAUGAUCAUUCCAACUACCCUUAAAAUCAAUAGCGUAUGCUCUCAAUAUGUCUUCUAAAGUCUGAAUGGUCCUCUCUACCUGAUCAUCUAUCUGCAGAUGAACGGUUGUACAAAGAUAAACUUGGGUACCAAUACCCUUAUGAAUCUUCUAAAAUCGAGAGGUAAACUGGGUAUCUCUAUCUAAAAUAAUAGUCAAAGGGACUCCAUACAACAUCACCAACUCCCUAAGAUAGUGUUUAACACACAACCAAGCCAAACUCUAGAAGAAUCACCGUAAACCAUAAAACCAUCUAAACCCUCUAGCAGAGUCAAAACUGGAGCGGGGGUGAGUCCAGUCUUCAACUCUUGAUAAUUUUUCUCACAAGAAUCAGACUACUGGAAUUUGAAUUUCUUCUAAGUCAGUAUGGGCUUGGGAGAAGCAAUAAAGGAAAAUCCUUCAACAAACGGUCUGUAAUAACUAUCUAAACCUAAGAAACUCCUAGUAUAUGAUGGAAAAAUGGGUCUAGCUAGGUCUUCACAACUUCAUUUUUUUUAAGAUCAACUUGAAUGCCUUUACUAGAAAUGAUGUGACCAAGAAAUACUACUAAUUUCAACCAGAAUUCACAUUUGCUAAACUUAGCGAAUAACUAGUGAUCUUUGAGAGUUUGCAAGACAAUCCUCAAAUAAUCUGCAUAUUCAUCCUUACUCUGACAAUAAACGAGGGUGUCAUCUAUGAAGACUAUAACAAAUAUGUCCAAGUACUUCUUGAACACCCUAUUCAUCAAGUCCAUAAAAAUUGUAGGAGCAUUCAUUAGUCUAAAAGACGUAACAACAAAUUUGAAGUGACCAUAGCGAGUUUUGAAGGUUGUCUUUGGAAUGUCACAUUCUCUGACUCUAAGCUUAUGAUAGCCAGAUCUGAGGUCUAUCUUAGAAAAAUAAUUGGCACCCUGAAGUUGGUCGAACAAGUCAUCAAUCCUAGGAAUGUGAUACUUGUUCUUGAUUGUAACCUUGUUCAACUGGUGAUAGUUAAUGCACUUUCUAAGAGAACCAUCUUUCUUGCAUACGAAAAGAACUAAAGCACCCCAUGAAGAGACACUAGGCCUGAUAAAAUCUUUGUCUAUGAGAUCUUUCAACUAUUCCUUUAAUUUAUUAAGCUCAAAUGGAGCCAUUAUACAUGGUGGUAUUAAAAUAGGCUGGGUAUCUGGAAGGAGAUCUAUUCCAAAUUUAACUUCUCAUUCUAGAGAAACUACGGGCAGAUCUUCAGGAAACACUUCUAGAAAUUCAUUUACCAUAGGGACUUACUGAAGGGUUGGGGUCUCAGACUUUGAAUCCUUAACCCAAAUAAGAUGAUAGAUGUACCCCUUGAAAAUUAUUUUUCUUGCCUUAAGUAAAGAGACAAACCGACCUAUAAGCACUGAGGUACUACUCUUCUACUCUAAGAUUGGCUCAUUUGGAAACUAAAAUCGGACUACUCUAUUUCUACAAUAAACUAAGGCAUAUGAAGAGUGGAUCCAAUCCAUGUCAAGAAUGACAUCAAAAUCUAUCAUGUCUAAUUUUACAAUGUCGAUUAAGGUAACUUUUUGGGAUACCGUGAUAGGGCAAUUUCUGUAUACCCAUCUGGCUAUGACUGAAUUGCCUAUUGAAGUAGAAACUGAGAAGGGUUUUGAGAGGAUUUCAAGGAUGACACUGAAGUCUACUUCUAUAUAGGGAGUCACAAAGGAAUGUGUGGAUUUGGGAUCUAACUAUGCAUAAACAUGAAUAUGAAAAUCUUACAAUAUACUAGUGACCACAUCAGGAGAGCCCUCAUGAUCCUGCCAAAUAUUUAGGGCAUAGAACCUAUUCUGAUGUUGUCCACCAAUUGAACUAGAUGAGACGCCUUGCUGAGUCGGGCGACCUGAUGGAGUGGCUGAAGAGUUAGAUUGACUUUACGGACGAGUAUCCCUAUCUCUGUGUGAAUCCAUUGAAUAUUCCCUCCAUAUGUGGCCUGACUUGCCACAUAUAAAACAAGCAUCACUACCCACCAUACACUCACCCUUGUAGUUCCUACCAUAUUUCUUGCAAACUGGGUUAGUGCGAAUUCAAACUACUCUGGGACUUAGAGUCUGGCACUCUAUGUCGAGUAUCCUUUUAGAACUAGGGUACUGGAGCACGAAAAGAAGAUGGGACCAAUUACCACCAUUUGACCUCUGCUGAGAGAAAUUAAAGUUACCAGUUCUGUCCAGUUAGCCUCUGAAGUAUAUGUUUUAAUAAUGACAAGCUAACCAGUGGAUCUUUACAGGGCAUUGAAGACUACUGAUAAAGGAAGCUGGCUCCAAGAAUUGAAGUACAUCAACUGACAAUCUGUAACAUUAAAGAAAAUCAAUCAAAAUAAGAAAAAAUGGAAGGAGAAUCUUAGUCCCAUAAGUUUCGGCAAAUCAAAUCAACCACGGAGAAUCUCUGGCCCAAAAGUCUCGACAAAUUAGAUCAAUAAUGGCUAAAGAACAAGAAGAAAAGAUUACAAGCGC